AGUGAACGCUGGCGGCGUGCCUAACACAUGCAAGUCGAACGGGCUAGUGCUUCGCACUAGUCUCUUUCUGGGGUUGUUACUCUAAGGCUACCUGCUAAAGUUAUUGCUUUAAAGCAGGGGUUUUAGGAGACUUUCUCCGAAAGGGGCCAGUGCGGAGCACUGGCCAGUGGCGAACGGGUGAGUAACACGUGGGUAAUCUACCCUCGAGUGGGGAAUAAGCUUCCGAAAGGGGUCUAAUGCCGCAUAACGUUUCAUAACGAUGGUUAUGAAACCAAAGCCCAAAAGGCGCUCGAGGAGGAGCCUGCGUCCUAUCAGCUUGUUGGCAGGGUAAUGGCCUACCAAGGCUAUGACGGGUAGCCGGCCUGAGAGGGUGUCCGGCCACACUGGAACUGAGACACGGUCCAGACUCCUACGGGAGGCAGCAGUGGGGAAUUUUGCGCAAUGGGGGAAACCCUGACGCAGCGACGCCGCGUGGAGGAUGACGGCCGUCGGUGUUAACGUCGUACGUCCAGUAACGGACGGAACUACCGGAACCG
rnacentral:rRNA from 1 species